UAAAACUCUUGAUCCUCCUGCCUUCACCUA
rnacentral:piRNA from 1 species